rnacentral:rRNA from 1 species
AACGAACGCUGGCGGCGUGCCUAACACAUGCAAGUCGUGCGGGAAAGUGGGGGCAACUCCACGAGUACAGCGGCGCACGGGUGAGUAACACGUAGGUAACCUACCUCCGCGUCCGGGAUAACCUGUCGAAAGGCGGGCUAAUACCGGAUAAGACCACGAGGGCGUCGGCCCUUGGGGCAAAAGGUGGCCUCGGUUUACAAGCUACUACUCGGAGUUGGGCCUGCGCGCCAUUAGCUAGUUGGUGGGGUAACGGCCCACCAAGGCAAAGAUGGCUAGCUGGUCUGAGAGGAUGGCCAGCCACACUGGGACUGAGACACGGCCCAGACUCCUACGGGAGGCAGCAGUGGGGAAUAUUGCGCAAUGGGCGAAAGCCUGACGCAGCGACGCCGCGUGGGUGAUGAAGGCCUUCGGGUCGUAAAGCCCUGUCGGGAGGGACGAAACCUCGGCGAGCGAACAGGUCGCCGACCUGACGGUACCUCCUAAGGAAGCACCGGCUAACUCCGUGCCAGCAGCCGCGGUAAUAC